AACGAACGCUGGUGGCGUGCUUAACACAUGCAAGUCGAGCGAUGAAAGCCUUAUGAACUAUUCGUAGUGAUUGGGGCCGGAUUAGCGGCGGACGGGUGAGUAACGCGUGAGCAACCUGCCUUAAACAACGGGAUAGCCUCGGGAAACCGGGAUUAAUACCGUAUGAGACCCCGCCUUCACAUGAAGAAGAGGUUAAAGAUUUAUCGGUUUAAGAUGGGCUCGCGUCUGAUUAGCUAGUUGGUGAGAUAAAAGCCCACCAAGGCAACGAUCAGUAACCGGCUUGAGAGAGUGAACGGUCACAUUGGAACUGAGACACGGUCCAAACUCCUACGGGAGGCAGCAGUGGGGAAUAUUGCACAAUGGGGGAAACCCUGAUGCAGCGACGCCGCGUGAGCGAUGAAGGAAUUCGUUUCGUAAAGCUCUGUCCAAGGGGAAGAUAAUGACAGUACCCUUGGAGGAAGCCCCGGCUAAAUACGUGCCAGCCGCCGCGGUAAAAC
rnacentral:rRNA from 1 species